rnacentral:tRNA from 1 species
GGGGAUUUAGCUCAGCGGCAUAAGCACCUGCCUUGUAAGCAGGCAGUCCUCA